GAUGAACGCUGGCGGCGUGCUUAACACAUGCCAGUCGAACGGAAAGGCUCCUGCUUGCAGGGGUACUCGAGUGGCGAACGGGUGAGUAACACGUGGGUGAUCUGCCCUGCACUUCGGGAUAAGCCUGGGAAACUGGGUCUAAUACCGGAUAGGACGAUGGUUUGGAUGCCAUUGUGGAAAGUUUUUCGGUGUGGGAUGAGCUCGCGGCCUAUCAGCUUGUUGGUGGGGUAAUGGCCUACCAAGGCGUCGACGGGUAGCCGGCCUGAGAGGGUGUACGGCCACAUUGGGACUGAGAUACGGCCCAGACUCCUACGGGAGGCAGCAGUGAGGAAUAUUGCACAAUGGGCGCAAGCCUGAUGCAGCGACGCCGCGUGGGGGAUGACGGCCUUCGGGUUGUAAACUCCUUUCGCUAGGGACGAAGCGCAAGUGACGGUACCUGGAGAAGAAGCACCGGCUAACUACGUG
rnacentral:rRNA from 1 species